UGGGGAAUUUUGCACAAUGGGGGAAACCCUGAUGCAGCGACGCCGCGUGAUUUAGAAGGCCUUCGGGUUGUAAAAAUCUUUUUUACGGGAUGAAAAUGACAGUACCGUAAGAAUAAGGUCCGGCUAAAUACGUGCCAGCAGCCGCGGUAAUACGUAUGGACCGAGCGUUGUCCGGAAUCAUUGGGCGUAAAGGGUACGUAGGCGGCCUAGUAAGUUAGAAGUGAAAUAAUAUAGCUCAACUAUAUAAAGCUUUUAAAACUGCUAGGCUUGAGAGAUGGAAGGGAAAGUGGAAUUCCUAGUGUAGCGGAGAAAUGCGCAGAUAUUAGGAAGAAUACCGGUGGCGAAGGCGACUUUCUGGUCAUCAUCUGACGCUGAGGUACGAAAGCGUGGGUAGCAAACAGG
rnacentral:rRNA from 1 species